rnacentral:rRNA from 1 species
CCUACGGGUGGCUGCAGUGGGGAAUAUUGCUCAAUGGGGGAAACCCUGAAGCAGCAACGCCGCGUGGAGGAUGAAGGUUUUCGGAUUGUAAACUUCUUUUGUUAGAGAAGAUAAUGACAGUAUCUAACGAGUAAGCAAUGGCGAACUCCGUGCCAGCAGCCGCGGUAAUACGGAGGGUGCAAGCGUUAAACGGAUUCACUGGGCGUAAAGAGCGCGUAGGCGGGAUAGCAAGUCAGAUGUGAAAGCCUACGGCUUAACCAUAGAACUGCAUUUGAAACUGUUAUUCUUGAGUAUGGGAGAGGUAGGUGGAAUUCUUGGUGUAGGGGUGAAAUCCGUAGAGAUCAGGAGGAACACUAAUGGCGAAGGCGACCUGCUGGAACAUAACUGACGCUGAUGCGCGAAAGCGUGGGUAGCAAACAGGAUUAGAUACCCGGGUAGUC